rnacentral:tRNA from 1 species
AGCCCCGUCGUCUAGCGGCCAAGGAUAGGGGUCUUUGGAACCUCGGACAGCGGUUCGAAUCCGCUCGGGGCUA